GGGGCCAUAGCUCAGCUGGGAGAGCGCCUGCUUUGCAAGCAGGAGGUCGCCGGUUCGAGCCCGGCUGGCUCCA
rnacentral:tRNA from 1 species